rnacentral:sRNA from 1 species
UGCCUAAACCUUCCGGUAUUUAACCGUCUGGCAUGGCACAAAAACCUUGUGAGGAAUAAGCUCCUCGUCAGAGCACCUCACAAGGUCAUAUCUCAAAAGGGGUAUGGGUGGCGCAAGCCAUC